rnacentral:rRNA from 1 species
UGGGGAAUCUUGCACAAUGGGGGAAACCCUGAUGCAGCGACGCCGCGUGAACGAUGAAGCCCUUCGGGGUGUAAAGUUCUUUCGGCAGGAACGAUAAUGACGGUACCUGAAGAAGAAGCUGCGGCUAACUACGUGCCAGCAGCCGCGGUAAUACGUAGGCAGCAAACGUUGUUCGGAGUUACUGGGCGUAAAGAGUACGUAGGCGGUUUGCCAAGUUUGGUGUGAAAUCUCCUGGCUUAACUGGGAGGGUGCGCCGAAUACUGGCAGACUUGAGUAUGGGAGAGGUAACUGGAAUUCCUGGUGUAGCGGUGAAAUGCGUAGAUAUCAGGAGGAACACCUAUGGCGAAAGCAGGUUACUGGCCCAAUACUGACGCUGAGCUGCGAAAGCUAGGGGAGCAAACAGGAUUAGAUACCCUGGUAGUCCCUGAGCGGGCUGGCAAGGCGCAU